rnacentral:lncRNA from 1 species
CCUACUUUACUGCUUUGUAGAGUUCAACUUCUUUGGUAGUAUGCUUAUGUCUUGCUAUCUGUUACUGUAGUGAAUCCCAUUCCCCAUACACCUUUUAUGUGCUUGACUAUGUUUUACGACAUGGAAAUAAACAAAAUUAUCAUCCAUAGUAUGUGCUUGACUAUGGUUUAUGACAUGGAAAUACACAAAGUUAUCAUCCAUGGCUUAAAAGUGGAUCUUUGGGAUCCUAGGCUCUUUCAAUUUCCCAUACCCCAUCCCUUAUGUGUGUUGAGUUAAGGUAUAGCCUAGCAACAUCCAAAUUGAUGUCCAGAGAUGAACUUGACAUUCAAUAGGUCCUAAACCUCUACUUAUUGACUGAUAGGCUGGUCAAGGGUGUGUCAGCAUUCCAGUUGCUGGGCAUGAACACCAGCCUGCCUUGGCAUUCCCUAACUCCCCACUAUCGCACUUACACUUACUCUCAUAUUCUAAGUUCUGCCCCCCUCCUAUGAGCCUUGCCUUGGGACCUUUGAGUUCUCUUUAAACAUGGACAUUUGAGGGUUGGCUUCUCCAAACUACACUUCAAUUCAAUUCCGCAAUGAUAUUUGGGGUGUAAGCAUUGCUUGGAGUUCUUGAAAUUCCUUGGAACUUUGACACAUCCCAGAUAAGAGAAAGGCUUUGGAACGUAAUCUUUAGAAGUUGGUUUAUAACAUAUGUCAGACUAGGAGACUGAAUUAGGCUCUCCUUGGUUGGAAUUUUGAUUUCGG